rnacentral:rRNA from 1 species
ACUCCUACGGGAGGCAGCAGUAGGGAAUAUUGCGCAAUGGGGGAAACCCUGACGCAGCGACGCCGCGUGUGUGAUGAAGGCUUUAGGGUCGUAAAGCACUGUCGUAAGGGAAUAAUUUUGAAGGUACCUUACAAGAAAGGACCGGCUAACUCCGUGCCAGCAGCCGCGGUAAUACGGGGGUCCUAGCGUUGUUCGGAAUCAUUGGGCGUAAAGCGGGUGUAGGCGGAAAUGUAGGUCAGAAGUGAAAGCCCCGGGCUCAACCCGGGAAGUGCUUUUGAAACCCCAUUUCUUGAGUGCAGAAGAGGAGAGUGGAAUUCCAGGUGUAGUGGUGAAAUACGUAGAUAUCUGGAGGAACAUCGGUGGCGAAGGCGGCUCUCUGGUCUGUUACUGACGCUCAGACCCGAAAGCGUGGGGAGCAAACAGGAUUAGAUACCCUGGUAGGAUAGCG